UACGGGGGGAGCAAGCGUUGUUCGGAUUUACUGGGCGUAAAGGGCGCGUAGGCGGCGCAACAAGUCACUUGUGAAAUCUCCGGGCUUAACCCGGAGCGGCCAAGUGAUACUGUCGUGCUAGAGUGCGGAAGGGGCAACUGGAAUUCUCGGUGUAGCGGUGAAAUGCGUAGAUAUCGAGAGGAACACCUGCGGCGAAGGCGGGUUGCUGGGCCGGUACUGACACUGAGGAGCGAAAGCGUGGGUAGCAAACAGG
rnacentral:rRNA from 1 species